ensembl:lncRNA
CUACAGAGCUGGAAGAAGAGAUGGCAGGAUAUGAGGCCAAGACAGUUUGAUUCCAAAAAUCCAAACAAUUCAGAGCUUUACUGUGCAUUGUCAGCUUCCAAAAGAUCAGCGAGUGUGUCCCAAGAAGCUGGCCCUACAUGAUCCAGACACCCAGUGGAAGAAUCUGAGAAGCUGAAGGAGGAUCCAGUGGAUCAACUGUGGGUCCAGAUGUUCCUUACAUCAGUAAGGCUGCUGAGGCUGCAAAAGGAGUGAGGAGAGCUAGCCAACCACUAAAUUUUGACACACCAAGGAGGGAUCGAACUCGGGACCUUGCACUUGCGAGGCAGGCAGUGGAACCACUGAGUUAAAUCCCCGGCCCUAUGGCAGAUAC